rnacentral:rRNA from 1 species
AGUGAACGCUGGCCGUAGGCCUAACACAUGCAAGUCGAACGGCAGCACAGUAAGAGCUUGCUCUUACGGGUGGCGAGUGGCGGACGGGUGAGGAAUACAUCGGAAUCUACUUUUUCGUGGGGGAUAACGUAGGGAAACUUACGCUAAUACCGCAUACGACCUACGGGUGAAAGCAGGGGAUCUUCGGACCUUGCGCGAUUGAAUGAGCCGAUGUCGGAUUAGCUAGUUGGCGGGGUAAAGGCCCACCAAGGCGACGAUCCGUAGCUGGUCUGAGAGGAUGGUCGGCCACACUGGAACUGAGACACGGUCCAGACUCCUACGGGAGGCAGCAGUGGGGAAUAUUGGACAAUGGGCGCAAGCCUGAUCCAGCCAUACCGCGUGGGUGAAGAAGGCCUUCGGGUUGUAAAGCCCUUUUGUUGGGAAAGAAAAGCAGCAGGUUAAUACCCCGCUGUUCUGACGGUACCCAAAGAAUAAGCACCGGCUAACUUCGUG